rnacentral:rRNA from 1 species
AUCCAGACUCCUACGGGAGGCAGCAGUGGGGAAUAUUGCACAAUGGGGGAAACCCUGAUGCAGCGACGCCGCGUGAGUGAAGAAGUAAUUCGUUAUGUAAAGCCCUAUCGGCAGGGAAGAAGCAAGACGGUACCUGACUAAGAAGCCCCGGCUAACUACGUGCCAGCAGCCGCGGGAAUACGUAGGGGGCGAGCGUUAUCCGUAUUCACUGGGUGUAAAGGGAGCGUAGACGGCCAUGCAAGCCAGGGGUGAAAGCCCGGGGCCCAACCCCGGGACUGCCCUUGGAACUGCAUGGCUGGAGUGCGGGAGGGGCAGGCGGAAUUCCUGGUGUAGCGGUGAAAUGCGUAGAUAUCAGGAGGAACACCGGUGGCGAAGGCGGCCUGCUGGACUGCAACUGACGUUGAGGCUCGAAAGCGUGGGGAGCAAACAGGAUUAGAUACCCUAGUA